UACGUAGGGUGCAAGCGUUGUCCGGAAUUAUUGGGCGUAAAGAGCUCGUAGGCGGUCCGUCACGUCGGCUGUGAAAACCCCGGGGCUCAACCCCGGGCCUGCAGUCGAUACGGGCGGACUAGAGUUCGGCAGGGGAGACUGGAAUUCCUGGUGUAGCGGUGAAAUGCGCAGAUAUCAGGAGGAACACCGGUGGCGAAGGCGGGUCUCUGGGCAGUAACUGACGCUGAGGAGCGAAAGCGUGGGGAGCGAACAGG
rnacentral:rRNA from 1 species